GCCGGGUAGUGGUUCACCCGGAAAACAGAGUCGCUCUGCUCGUCCAUCAGCAGCUUGCUCAACACAUCCCGCGGCUGAAUCUUCAGCCCCUCCGCCACCAUCUCUAGAAUCCGGCAUGCCAUCUUCUUCACCGCCGAUAAUACUCUGAAACGGACCGGAAUCUGUCGGCAGCCUCGCCGAAAAUGGAGGCGAACUUGUGGUAGAUUGAAUCGGCGUCGGUGGUAAAGAGGAGGUAUUCGACCCAGCCGACAUCGCCGGUGCAGCCGAUGUUCUUGUGUCCGUAGCCGAAGGGGUCCGGGGGGCCGGCUUUCUCCUUAUCCGAUAAGGGGAGGGAGAAGAAUUUGAUGGCUUCGGAUUCCAAGUCGGCCAUGAAUUGGAAGGGGACGCCGUGGUUGAUGACCUUGAAGAAGCCGACCUCCUCGCAGGCCUUGACGAGCUGCGACUGGGAGUCGGGUUCCGAGAGGUCGAUCAGCGGCAAUAACUGUUCCAUUGCCGGUUUGGAGAGAAACACCAUUGGUUGUAGUUGUAGAGAGAGAAGAGUGUUGGUGGUUGUGGGAUGAGCUGCCUCACUAUUUAAGGAGGGCUGUGGGGGGAGGGAUUUUCUGCAAUUUCAACCUUCUUCUAUGCUCUUUCUGCAAAAUAUUUACGUCUGAGAUAUCGGUUGAUGAGCUUAGAAUUAGAUUUUAUAUGUAUAUAGGUAUUGGAAUGAUGCGUACAUAAAUGAGUGAAUGUAAUUAUUAUCAAGUGUAUGUUUUUUACUCCCACCGUGCGGUUUGGAAAGCAAUAAUGAAAAAAAGUCGAAGAUUUUAUC